AAUUCCUCACUCGCACUCUCUGAUUCUACUGCCUAUUAGACAAUGAAAGCAACAACAUGAGCUGCUUCACCGGUUUACUAUUAUCAAAUUCCCCAAUGUCUGCCAUUGUCACAUCUUUCCUUAAACAUACAAGUUGGCAGUCUCCUUACAUUACUCAACAUGUCUGCUGUUGCAAACCUUCUAAAGCCAUGUUUGGAAGUUAAAGGAGAGCUCCAGGUCCCUGUUCAUCAACAGAUCAAACAUGUUAGUUUCUUGUAGGCACAAGUGCUUGCUCAUCCUCUUUCUUCUUGCUUUCAUCCUUCUCUCUGAAGCAUCGAGAUCGCCUAAGGUGUACUGGGAACAGAUGCUUCCCAAGAAGCUUCCAGCUCCUUCAUCAUCUCCUUCUAAAGGUACCAACUCUGUAACAAUGUCAACAUCAAAAGCAGUUAAACCAGAUAGGAGUCUCCCUUCAUCGGAUGGAAAGGUUUAGUUGCCAUUAAAGAAGAGCUCAAAUUUUACUUGCUGCUAACUGUGUUGUCUACAUAUU
rnacentral:lncRNA from 1 species